rnacentral:rRNA from 1 species
AGAGUUUGAUCAUGGCUCAGGAUUAACGCUGGCGGCAUGCCUAAUACAUGCAAGUCGAACGAAGAUACUUCGGUAUCUUAGUGGCGAACGGGUGAGUAACACGUAGGUAACCUACCUAAUAGAAUGGGAUAACACGGAGAAAUUCGUGCUAAUACCGUAUGUGGAGCGGAAGCGGCAUCGCUUCUUCUCUAAAGUUCCUU